rnacentral:pre_miRNA from 1 species
GUGACAGAAGAGAGUGAGCACAGAGGGUUCUUUUCUUGCAUGGUCUGUCCCCAUGCUCGAAGCUCUGUGUGCUCACCAUCUCUCUGUCAC